UUUCACUUUUUGAACAUUUUUAAAUGAUUAGUUUCUUAUCUAAAUACUAAAUUAAAUACUAAUAUAGAUCUAAUCAUAAGAAAAGUCAAGGGCGCCAAAAUCAUAAAUAAUGUCCUGUAGUAUAUAAUGUCUAUGAUUCAUAGGUAUUAUUUAGAAGUAGGCUUGUACGGCUUGUACAGCAAUUUCACUUUGGAAUCCAACUCUUUAGACUUUAGAGUACCUCUGCGAUGCUGUUAGAUAGGUAGGUUGUUUGUUGACGAUUUUUUUUGGCUAGCCACAAUUUGUUAUUUUUUUAGUGCAAUUUUUAAUUUUCAACUGUAUCUGCCGAUUACAACGAAUUUUACUAAGUACUUGUAGUUCUUCCAGUAGGUACAACCUAACUAAAGCUACAACAAUAUACGAGCAAUCGAGGUCUCUAUAAAUUUUAAUUAUUUAUUAUUAUUAUACAACGUUUUCGGGUUGGGCGUGUUGUGACAUCGAACGUCGUCGUAAAAAACGCAUAAUAUGCUUUGUACGCGAGAUAUCGGGUACUGCAGCGCCGAGAAGAACGAGAAAUAUACAUACACACACACACAGUAUAACGCUGAACAUUCUUGGGCCGGUACAACCUGUUGUCGUGCGCUUCUUAAAUUAUAAUAUUAUUCAAAACGAGAUGCACUCGGGUUGAUAACGAAGAAAAAAAAACCGGUGUGCGGCAAUGUAGAAUAUAUGAAUAUAUUUAUUAUUAUUAUUAUUAUUCGGAGGAGUCGACGAGGACGUUAUUGUUGUCGCGGCCACGCAGUUGGCAAAGGGGUC